GACGAACGCUGGCGGCGUGCUUAACACAUGCAAGUCGAACGGAAAGGCCCUGCUUUUGUGGGGUGCUCGAGUGGCGAACGGGUGAGUAACACGUGAGUAACCUGCCCUUGACUUUGGGAUAACUUCAGGAAACUGGGGCUAAUACCGGAUAGGAGCUCCUGCUGCAUGGUGGGGGUUGGAAAGUUUCGGCGGUUGGGGAUGGACUCGCGGCUUAUCAGCUUGUUGGUGGGGUAGUGGCUUACCAAGGCUUUGACGGGUAGCCGGCCUGAGAGGGUGACCUGGACGCGGUGGCAUCGCAACACGUCCCGGACCGCGCGGGGAGGGCGCGGGGGGCGUGAUUGCAGGAGGGGCGGGCGACGGCUGCGGCAGCGCGGCGUGGGGCACGGCGGGCUUGCGCUGGUGGGCCGGGUUACGGUGUGAGGUGGGGGGUGUGGGGGUAGGAGAUAAAGAAGCACCGGAUAACUACGGGCCAGUAGCUGCGGUAAUGAUCGAAGAGCACCCGGCGGACC
rnacentral:rRNA from 1 species